rnacentral:rRNA from 1 species
GACGAACGCUGGCGGCGUGCUUAACACAUGCAAGUCGAACGGAAAGGCCCUGCUUUUGUGGGGUGCUCGAGUGGCGAACGGGUGAGUAACACGUGAGUAACCUGCCCUUGACUUUGGGAUAACUUCAGGAAACUGGGGCUAAUACCGGAUAGGAGCUCCUGCUGCAUGGUGGGGGUUGGAAAGUUUCGGCGGUUGGGGAUGGACUCGCGGCUUAUCAGCUUGUUGGUGGGGUAGUGGCUUACCAAGGCUUUGACGGGUAGCCGGCCUGAGAGGGUGACCGGCCACCUUGGGACUGGGAUACGGCCCAGACUCCUACGGGAGGCAACAGUGGGGAAUAUUGCACAAUGGGCGGAAGCCUGAUGCAGCAACGCCGCGUGCGGGAUGACGGCCUUCGGGUUGUAAACCGCUUUCGCCUGUGACGAAGCGUGAGUGACGGUAAUGGGUAAAGAAGCACCGGCUAACUACGUG